rnacentral:rRNA from 1 species
GAAUAAGUAUUAAAGGGCAUUUGGUGGAUGCCUUGGCAUCAAGAGGCGAUGAAGGACGCGAUACGCUGCGAAAAGUCACGGUAAGGUGCGAAUAACCGUUAACCCGUGAAUGUCCGAAUGGGGAAACCCACCACUUUUAGUGGUAUCUUAAACUGAAUACAUAGGUUUAAGAGGCGAACCUGGCGAACUGAAACAUCUAAGUAGCCAGAGGAAAAGAAAUCAACCGAGACUCCGCGAGUAGUGGCGAACGAAAGCGGACCAGGCCAAUGGUUGGCUUAACAAAACCUGAAUAAGCUGGAAAGCUUAACUAAAGAAGGUGAUAGUCCUGUAAGGGUAAAUGUUAAGUCGAUCUUCGAGUAGGGCGGGACACGAGAAAUCCUGUCUGAACAUGGGGGGACCACCCUCCAAGCCUAAGUACUCCUUGAUGACCGAUAGCGAACAAGUACCGUGAGGGAAAGGUGAAAAGAACCCUGAGCAAGGGAGUGAAAUAGAAUCUGAAACCGAAUGUCUACAAGCAGUCGAAGCGUCCUUGAGGCGCGACGGCGUACCUUUUGUAUAAUGGGUCAGCGAGUUCGUCUGAGUAGCAAGCUUAAGCCGAUAGGUGUAGGCGUAGCGAAAGCAAGUUUUAAUAGAGCGCUAAGUUACUUGGAUGAGACCCGAAACCGGGUGAUCUAGCCAUGAGCAGGUUGAAGUUGCGGUAAUACGUAAUGGAGGACCGAACCCACGCAUGUUGCAAUAUGCGGGGAUGACUUGUGGCUAGGGGUGAAAGGCCAAUCAAACUCGGAAAUAGCUGGUUCUCCGCGAAAACUAUUUAGGUAGUGCGUCAAGAGAUGGCUACUGGGGGUAGAGCACUGAAUAGGCUAGGGGGGAGCGAUCCUUACCAAACCUAAUCAAACUCCGAAUACCAGUAUGCUUAUCUUGGCAGACAGACCAUGGGUGCUAAGGUCCAUGGUCAAAAGGGAAACAGCCCUGACCACCGUCUAAGGUCCCCAAAUCACUGUUAAGUGGAAAAGGAAGUGAGAAGGCCAAGACAGCCAGGAGGUUGGCUUAGAAGCAGCCAUCCUUUAAAGAAAGCGUAAUAGCUCACUGGUCUAGUUAAGCCAUCUUGCACCGAAAAUGUACCGGGGCUCAAACAGUGUACCGAAGACGUGGGCAUCGUAAGAUGCGGUAGCGGAGCGUUCUGUAAGCCGUUGAAGGUAAAUCGCGAGGUUUGCUGGAGGUAUCAGAAGUGAGAAUGCUGACAUAAGUAACAAUAAGGCAUGUGAGAACCAUGCCCACCGAAAAUCUAAGGGUUCCUGCGCAAGGAUAAUCCGCGCAGGGUGAGUCGGCCCCUAAGGCGAGGACGAAAGUCGUAGUCGAUGGAAACAAGGUUAAUAUUCCUUGACCUGUCAGUGGUGACGAAGGUCGUAAGUUGUUUGUUAUUAUUGGAUUUUGCAAGCAGCGAAGAACUUCCAGGAAAUAGCCCUGACAUUUAAGACCGUACCCGAAACCGACACAGGUGGAUUCGUAGAGCAUACGUAGGUGAAUGAGCGAAUGAUGUUGAAGGAACUCGGCAAAUUGACCCCGUAACUUCGGAAGAAGGGGUACCCUUUUUUGGGCAACCAGAAGAGGGUGGCACAGGCCAGGGGGUGGCGACUGUUUAUCAAAAACACAGGACUCUGCAAAAUCAAUUGAUGACGUAUAGGGUCUGACGCCUGCCCGGUGCCGGAAAGUUAAGAGGAGGUGUGCAAGCACUGAAUUGAAGCUCUGGUAAACGGCGGCCGUAACUAUAACGGUCCUAAGGUAGCGAAAUUCCUUGUCGGGUAAGUUCCGACCUGCACGAAUGGCGUAACGACUUCCCCGCUGUC